UGUGGAAUAUUGCACAAUGGAGGGACCUCUGAUGCAGCGACGCCGCGUGAGUGAUGAAGGAAUUCGUUUCGUAAAACUCUGUUCUAUGGGAAGAAAAGGACUGUACCAUAGGAGAAAGCUCCGGCUAAAUACGUGCCAGCAGCCGCGGUAAUACGUAUGGAGCGAGCGUUGUCCGGAAUUAUUGGGCGUAAAGGGUGCGCAGGCGGCUUUACAAGUUGGAUGUGAAAUAUUGUGGCUCAACCACAAACGUGCAUCCAAAACUGCAAAGCUUGAGUUAAGGAGAGGUAAGUAGAAUUCCUGGUGUAGCGGUGGAACGCGUAGAUAUCAGGAGGAACACCGGUGGCGAAGGCGACUUACUGGACUUAAACUGACGCUCAGGCACGAAAGCGUGGGGAGCAAACAGG
rnacentral:rRNA from 1 species